ensembl:lncRNA
NNNNNNNNNNNNNNNNNNNNNNNNNNNNNNNNNNNNNNNNNNNNNNNNAUAUAUAUAUAUAUAUAUAUAUAUAUAUAUAUAUAUAUAUAUAUAUAUAUAUAUAUGUAUAUAUGUAUAUAUGUAUAUGUAUAUAUAUAUAUGUAUGUAAACUAUGUCCCUAUUGCCAUGCGGGAACGUGUCCACAAAAAGGCUGUGAGGAGGUGGACCCCAGAAACGGAGCAGGCCCUGCAGGACUGUCUUGGGUCCACGGACUGGGACGCUCUUUGCACGCCUCAUGGGGAGGACAUUGACGGCAUGACGGACUGCAUCACGGAAUAUAUUAAGUUCUGUGAAGAGUCCGUUGUGCCUACUCGAACUGUUCGAUGCUUCCCCAACAACAAACCCUGGAUCAGCUGUGACCUGAAGAACCUCCUGAACAGGAAGAAGAGAGCCUUCAGGUCUGGAGACCGGGAGGAGCUGAAGAGGGUGCAGCACCAGCUUAGGGAUCAGCUGAGGAACGGGAGAGAUUCCUACAGGAGGAAGCUGGAAUCCAAACUCCAGCAGGACAACAUGAGGGCGGUGUGGUCUGGAAUGAAGAAGAUCACAGGAUGUGGGGGGAGAAGCAGACCCAUCACAGGCAGCAAAGAGAGAGCUGAUGAGCUUAACACCUUUUUCAACAGGUUUAGCUCUCUGAAUGCCUCAGCCUCCUCCCCCCCCAACUCCACCACACCACCCCCCCCCCCCCUCCUGCCCCCUCGCUGUUUUCCCCCCCCCCCCCAUGAACCCCCCACACCUCCUCACCUUCCUUCCCCCUCUAACACACCACACCCACUGGGCCCACAGUCCAUCACCCCUCCCCCCAGUCCAACCACCCCCCCCCUCCCUCCCUGUCUGACUGUAACAGCCUGCCAGGUGAAGAAACAGCUGGAGAAACUUAACCAGCACAAAGCAGCCGGCCCGGAUGGCGUCAGCCCUCGUACCUUGAGGACCUGUGCCCACCAGCUGUCUGCGGUUCUCCAGCAUCUCUUCAACCUGAGCCUCAGACUGGAGAAGGUGCCGCUCCUCUGGAAGACCUCCUGCCUGGUCCCCGUUCCUAAGAAGACGUCUCCAUCUCACCCCGGGGAUUUCCGUCCAGUUGCCCUCACUUCUCAUGUGAUGAAGGUGCUGGAGAGGCUGGUGUUGGCUCAAGUGAGACCGGUGGUGAGCUCUUCUCUGGACCCCCUGCAGUUUGCCUACCGGCCGCGCCUGGGGGUGGAUGAUGCUGUCAUCCAUCUGCUGCAGCGAACUUACUCACACCUGGAUGGUGGUGGAGGCAUGGUGAGAAUCACCUUCUUUGACUUCUCCAGUGCCUUUAACACCAUCCAGCCUUCUUUACUGGGUGAUAAGCUGCGGCUGAUGGGUGCUGGUGCGUCCACCGUCUCCUGGAUCACUGACUACCUGACAGACAGGCCACAGUUUGUCCGACUGGGCGGCGUCCUGUCUGACGUGGUGCUGAGUGGUGUGGGAGCCCCACAGGGCACUGUGCUCUCUCCAUUCCUGUUCACCUUAUACACCUCAGAUUUUCAGCACAACUCAGAGUCAUGUCACCUACAGAAAUUCUCUGAUGACUCUGUGGUUGUGGGGUGUAUAAGCGGUGGACGGGAGGAGGAGUACAGGAGGCUGGUGGACGGAUUUGUGGAGUGGGCUGGAGAGAAUCACCUGCUGCUCAAUGUGGACAAGACCAGGGAGAUGGUGAUUGACUUCCGGAGGAAAAGGACUGUCUUACAACCCCUCUGCAUCCUGGGCAGGGAUGUGGAAGCGGUGGAGGAGUACAAAUAUCUGGGUGUGACUAUCGACAGCAGACUGAGCUGGAGGAGCCACAGUUCUGCUGUGUACAAGAAGGCCUGCAGCAGACUCUACUUCCUGAGGAAGCUAAGGUCAUUUGAUGUGUGCAGCAAGAUGCUGGGGAUCUUCUACCAGUCUGUGGUAGCCAGCACCUUGUUCUCCUCCGUGGUCUGCUGGGGAAGCAGCAUUGCAGUCAGUGACACCAACAGACUGAACAAGCUGAUCAGGAAGGCGGGUUCUGUCAUUGGCUGCAAACAGGAAACCUUUGAAGCAGUGAUGGAGAGGAGGUCACUGAACAAGCUCUUAUCCAUCAUGGACAACCCAGAGCAUCCUCUCCACCCUGUUCUGGACAGACAGCGGAGCUCCUUCUCUAGAAGGCUCAGACAGCUCCGCUCCAAAACUGCCCGGUACCAGAAAUCCUUCCUGCCAAAUACUAUAACCCUGUUCAAUAAUUCACAAUGCAGAAGAUAACCUUGCACAUUUUUUUUUCUCUUUUCUUUAUUUUGCACAUUUCUUUUGCACAUCUCUUUACCUGCACUGUUUUGUAAAUAGCUCUUUAAAUUAUACCACAUUUUCCUUGUUCUUUUUUAUUUUUAUUUAUAUUAUUCUUACUCUUUUUUUCCUGUCAGUUGUUAUGGUAACGAACAAAUUUCCCACGUGUGGGAUCAAUAAAGUUUUUCUGAUUCUGAUUCUGAUAUAUAUAUAUAUGCAGGAAACCAGGGUUCCAGAGUCCCGGGAGAGGACUGAACUAUUAA